ACACCAGCGUGUUUGUCAAAUCAACCUACAGAAAAGCAUCUUCCCUGCAUCUCAUCACCUUGGGACAAACGGCACGGCUCUGCUUUGCUCAGCAGUGGAUGCACUCCUGAUUUACACCACUGGAGCUUCCCUGAGGACCAUCCACACCCAAGGAUGAUGUGAACCCCAGACCUGGUUGAUAAACCACCCUAUGAACCACCAUCGCUGGGGGACCGAGGUCUGGGCUGUUCCUUCCAACCUGUGGGUAGCUCAGCUCACCUCUGCCAGGAGCCUGUGUUGGUCACAACAGCAUCUGGAGCAGCCCAAACCCACAGGACAACUUAUUUGCCCCUUCCUAAAACUCUUAGAGUGCAGUAAUUAUUUACAAGCGUUAACACUUAUGGCCACGUGGACCCAAGGAUAGAAGGGCAUUAAAAUUCCACUUGAUGCUCACCAGGCCUGACUAAUAAAAUAAUGUCCAACAAGGACAUCAAUUAGCCACCGAUUCGCUAACGCUUUGCGAGGCUAAUGACAGCUGGAGCGAGGAAUUUGAAACCCGAGUCAUUUUUCCAGCCUGCACCGGGGUGCCAGGGAUAAAAGGUUUGCAGAUGCCUGGAUUGACAGAAAAGGUGCUCUCCUAGGACAAAGCCUUCAUUAAAGCAGACUGAAAAGGGAUAUGUCCUUUUAAGACAACAUUGAUAAGAGGCUCAAUACCCCAAAAAUGA